CUAAGUCAGUCUCCCAUUAAAUGCCUGUCUUUUAGGGAAGCAAAGCAUUGAAAUCCAAAUACCAGGCAUGCAUGAUAAAAGCAGCGCAGCCUGGCAGCCCCCUCUACUUUACUGCCCCCUAUUCAUUCACUACUUGUUGAAACACAGUUGGUUCAGAGCAGCUAGAUAAACACAUCCAUGGAGCUGUCUGAGAGGAGGCUCUUCCAGCUUUUCACCAGUGCAUUCACUCGGACAUCUCGAAACAGGAGAACAAGGUGACCCUUUCUGCGGCGCACGUCAGGAGCCCUGGAUUGUUCCCUUUGCUCAGGCAGUUCUGGGCAGGCAGGGAACUUGCAUUCCUCCCCACAAGGUGACAAUAUUUCUCCAGGGUUCUCUCUCCUGCUCUCCUUCACCACCAAACCUCCCCCGCCCCCCCCCUUCUCCACCAUUCCCUCCACCCCUAGCGGGCUCCCCUUCCCUUCAGAACACUCCUUACCUCUUAAUUAACUGCAGGUAACCACGAUCUGCCCCCCCCCCAAAUGUCCACAUAGCCAAGCGCUUGGAAAAUCAGCCGAAGAAGAAAAGAGUGUGGCUCGCAGACGCCAAGCCAAGCCAGCACACAACAUCACGGAAGGCUCCCCGUUUUAGCCGCUCUGCACUGGGGAGGAAAAACAAAUGUUCUUUUCAGAUUGACUGCGAGAAACGGCAUGGAUUUACCCAUACACUUCAGGGGAAGGGACAUUUAAAUAAGCAAAGCGCGAAAAACGGGACUUACCGUUUCUGAGACGCCGUCAUUAUGGCGGACACCUUAUCAUCAUAAAACUUCUUCAUUGCAAAGCGGUCCAGCGCUUGGUCAGCACUGGAAAAGAAAUCGUUUUGCACAGGCCAUGAAAACUGGGACCGCAGUAGCCCCUAUCUACAGAUGCAGCAUUACUUUGACCUGGUUAGAUUUCAGGUUUGCCAUAGCGACCCAAAGUGGUGUCUUUUCAGUCCAAAGUCUACUUCACCACGUCUGUUGUAUUGAAGACCAUCUGUCAAUAAUAAACUUGAUUACUCUUGCUUUCUC